rnacentral:rRNA from 1 species
ACGAACGCUGGCGGCGUGCUUAACACAUGCAAGUCGAACGGAAAGGCCCUGCUUUUGUGGGGUGCUCGAGUGGCGAACGGGUGGGUAACACGUGAGUAACCUGCCCUUGACUUUGGGAUAACUUCAGGAAACUGGGGCUAAUACCGGAUAGGAGCUCCUGCUGCAUGGUGGGGGUUGGAAAGUUUCGGCGGUUGGGGAUGGACUCGCGGCUUAUCAGCUUGUUGGUGGGGUAGUGGCUUACCAAGGCUUUGACGGGUAGCCGGCCUGAGAGGGUGACCGGCCACAUUGGGACUGAGAUACGGCCCAGACUCCUACGGGAGGCAGCAGUGGGGAAUAUUGCACAAUGGGCGGAAGCCUGAUGCAGCGACGCCGCGUGCGGGAUGACGGCCUUCGGGUUGUAAACCGCUUUCGCCUGUGACGAAGCGUGAGUGACGGUAAUGGGUAAAGAAGCACCGGCUAACUACGUG